CAGAUUAACGCGAGGCCUGGAGCCUGCGGGGUGGCGGCGGAUCAGCUCCGAUCAUCUGGAUGCUAUCAGCUGACUCCACUGUGAAGAUUGCACAAUCGGCAUUGACAGCUGAUAUAAAAGAAAUAAGAUGUCCAUUUGACUGAGCCAAACAAGCAUGUCUAUUGGAGCGCCAUGGCAGGAACCCGCACAGCAUUGGAGCGAUAAACAGUUGCAAAAGUCUACACACCCUUCCAGGUAACAGUUUAGUGUGCACUGCAGCAACACAGGAGGAUCCUUCUCAUAAAAGUGCUGAACGUCGUUCUCUUUCCAAGAUGAUGUUACCAAGAAUCGUCUCCUUGAGUUCAGCUCUGGAGCGCAGAAAUACUGCUUUGCGUGGUACAGUUGGCGGUGGGAGGGUUAACCGCUGUAAUAAGUUAAAGAUCCCUCACGGCAGGCUUUUCUUUAGCAUGUAGUUUGCAGCUCUGAGAACAAUAUACAUCAUACUGCUCCGUGACAUAAUAACUGGUUUUCAUUCCCCGUGACACUAAAAAUACGGCAUUUAAUACUGGUUCUAUUUACAUCUCUGCAAAAGACACCAAUUUAGACUAGAAUAAUACAGGAAACAGAAAAGACACUUGUACAAUGUGUCGCCACACAGUGCAUGUUAGGUAUGCCGUAAUUACUUGUCUUACACUGACCUGCCUUAUAGCUAUGGAAGUCUGAGGGAGCAAACCAUCUGGUUGACACAGUGACCUGUAAGUGGCGUGUUAUGGAAGAAGGUGACGCUAUAUGGUAACUGCACAUAUGGUACCUUUGUUAGACAUAUUCUGCAUUGCUAAUAUAGUAUGCAUUCGUGCUUGCCACAAUGAAAGUGGACACAAACAGGGGUAACAAUAUAGGCCCAUAGAUUUCUAUAUUGGCAAUAUUACAUGCCCACAUAACAUGGAUCCUUAAUACAGUCAUGUGUAGGAGACCUUUAUCUGAGAAGAAGGACCAUGUUAGAGGUGAGCUACAGUAAGGAAAGACUAUAAAUGUAUAAAUAAAGGCUAUCUUAUAAAAGGCAUAUAAAGGUGUGAGAUGCUGGUGCCUCUCCCUGGAAGUCCAUGUUAUAUGGUUGUAGAUGAUGGUGCUCUCCCUGGAAGACCAUGUUAUAUGGUUGUAGAUGAUGGUGCCAUCCCUGAAAGUCCAUGUAAUAUGGUUGUAGAUGAUUGUGCCCUCCCAGGAAGUUAAUUUUAUAUGGUUGUAGAUGAUGAUACCCUUACUAGAAGUCCAUGUGAUAUGGUUGUAGAUGGUAGUACUCUCCAUGGAAGUACAUAUUUUACGGUUGUAGAUGAUGAUGGUUCACUCAAUGGAAGUUCAUU